rnacentral:misc_RNA from 1 species
UUUCCGUAGGUGAACCUGCGGAAGGAUCAUUACAGUAUAACAGAGCUGCCAGGGCUGUCUCUGCCCCGCAUGUAUGUUUACGUCCGAGUGCCCCCACACCCCUCCCUCUCCCCCCCAUGUGCCCCCCCGCGAGCGUCCCCCCUCGGCUUGUUUGGUGGGCGGCUUGCGUUUUCACUCAUACUUUAGUCACAGCGUUGAAUGUAUUUUCUGUUUUUGCGAUCAUCCAUUCAAAACAACUUUCAACAACGGAUCACUUGGCUGUACCACCGACGAAGAACG